CGAAGGGGGCUAGCGUUGUUCGGAAUUACUGGGCGUAAAGCGAGUGUAGGCGGUUGCCCAAGUCAGGUGUGAAAGCCUUGAGCUCAACUCAAGAAAUGCACUUGGUACUGGGUGGCUAGAGGACCGGAGAGGAUAGUGGAAUUCCCAGUGCAGUGGUGAAAUACGUAGAGAUUGGGAAGAACACCAGUGGCGAAGGCGGCUAUCUGGACGGUUACUGACGCUAAGACUCGAAAGCGUGGGGAGCAAACAGGAUUAGAUACCCUGGUAGUCCACGCCGUAAACGAUGGGUGCUAGACGUUGGCGAGCUUGCUCGUCGGUGUCGCAGCUAACGCGUUAAGCACCCCGCCUGGGGAGUACGGCCGCAAGGUUG
rnacentral:rRNA from 1 species